GAUGAACGCUGGCGGCGUGCCUAAUACAUGCAAGUCGAGCGAACGGACGAGAAGCUUGCUUCUCUGAUGUUAGCGGCGGACGGGUGAGUAACACGUGGAUAACCUACCUAUAAGACUGGGAUAACUUCGGGAAACCGGAGCUAAUACCGGAUAAUAUUUUGAACCGCAUGGUUCAAAAGUGAAAGACGGUCUUGCUGUCACUUAUAGAUGGAUCCGCGCUGCAUUAGCUAGUUGGUAAGGUAACGGCUUACCAAGGCAGCGAUGCAUAGCCGACCUGAGAGGGUGAUCGGCCACACUGGAACUGAGACACGGUCCAGACUCCUACGGGAGGCAGCAGUAGGGAAUCUUCCGCAAUGGGCGAAAGCCUGACGGAGCAACGCCGAGUGAGUGAUGAAGGUCUUCGGAUCGUAAAACUCUGUUAUUAGGGAAGAACAUAUGUGUAAGUAACUGUGCACAUCCUGACGGUACCUAAUCAGAAAGCCACGGCUAACUACGUG
rnacentral:rRNA from 1 species